GAACCAAUAUAAAAACUUGUGUUUGCAUUCCUAUAUCCCUUAUCUUUUACAUUACAGUUGACUUUAUUUUUUACGCAGUCAACUACGUAUUUUCCGCUGCAUACAUAUUCUGAUUGCUUGCAUUUUAAGAAAGUUUAAAAAGAUUUAAACUUUGAUUACAAGAUUGCGAAAAGAACUUGUUUUUGAAACUACAUCAAUU
rnacentral:lncRNA from 1 species